UAGAUUCUGCUCCCACGGAUCUGGGGUUCGGUCUUGUGAAUCACCCUUUCCUUUCCCAGGAUAUAAACAGGACUGGCAGAGAUUGAGCACUGACCGGGAGCUCACUAGAAAUUCAGGCUUAGAGACCACCUUCCACCAGCUUAAUCACACUCUUGUUUGACACACACGAAUGGGUCCUCUGAUAUCAUGGCUGAGAAAUGUUAUUUUAAGCACUCUUUGGUCAGAGUUCACACGGCAAGCUGAAGAGAGAGCUUCUCACCCUCCCCAAGACUGCUGAAUCGGAGGCCAGGAUAGGAUGUCCCAGGUCCAACUAUCUUGGGAGAAACUGAGGCCCAGAGGAUGGGAGGAUACCCCAGAACCUGAUCUGUCUCCUCCACCAGUCAGGUAGCCAACUGUCAAGGGCUACGGUUGUAGCCUUGCCUCUGCUCUGCUUCAUAGGACGGGCUGAGGGAGCGAGCGGAGACACAGGAAAAUGGCGGUUGAGGGUGGGAAGCAGGCAGAUAUGCAAGAUGGCUCAGAGCGGAGGUUGAGAGGAUCUGUCAGUUUCUGACCCUCAGUGCUGAGACCCGGCCAUCACCUGCUCGCAAUUUCCCAUCUGAAUUCCCAGGGGUGGAUUAGAAACCAAUCUUAUGAACCGAAGAAAGUCUGUAACACUGAGCAUCCUGUCCCCAAAGUGGGCCUCGAAACAGCAUAUGGAUUCUACAGAAAGCCAUCUACACUAUGGGCUUGGUUGUGAAAGUGAUGGAAGCUUCAGAAAGAUGGAUUCUUCCCAGAGGCCAGCAUGUUACCUAACUUUGACUGUAGUAAAUGAAAUGAGAACAUAACCACUCUAAGAACAAGACGUACAACGUUCCUCCAGUUCCAUGCCUGCCUGGAAGCUACCAUGCUCCCGCCUUGACGAUGAACCUCUGAACAUGUAAGCCAGCCCCAACUAAACAUUCUUUUAAGAGUU